GAUGAACGCUGGCGGCGUGCCUAAUACAUGCAAGUCGAGCGAAUGGAUUAAGAGCUUGCUCUUAUGAAGUUAGCGGCGGACGGGUGAGUUACACGUGGGUAACCUGCCCAUAAGACUGGGAUAACUCCGGGAAACCGGGGCUAAUACCGGAUAACAUUUUGAACCGCAUGGUUCGAAAUUGAAAGGCGGCUUCGGCUGUCACUUAUGGAUGGACCCGCGUCGCAUUAGCUAGUUGGUGAGGUAACGGCUCACCAAGGCAACGAUGCGUAGCCGACCUGAGAGGGUGAUCGGCCACACUGGGACUGAGACACGGCCCAGACUCCUACGGGAGGCAGCAGUAGGGAAUCUUCCGCAAUGGACGAAAGUCUGACGGAGCAACGCCGCGUGAGUGAUGGAGGCUUUCGGGUCGUAAAACUCUGUUGUUAGGGAAGAACAAGUGCUAGUUGAAUAAGCUGGCACCUUGACGGUACCUAACCAGAAAGCUACGGCUAACUACGUGCCAGCCGCCGCGGUAA
rnacentral:rRNA from 1 species